rnacentral:rRNA from 1 species
GAAGCGAAGCCGCGAGGUAGAGCAAAUCUCAAAAAGACAUCUCAGUUCAGAUUGCAGGCUGCAACUCGCCUGCAUGAAGUCGGAAUUGCUAGUAAUCGUAGGUCAGCAUACUACGGUGAAUACGUUCCCGGGCCUUGUACACACCGCCCGUCAAACCAUGAGAGUUGGCAACACCCGAAGUCGGUAGUCUAACCGGCAAGGAGGACGCCGCCGAAGGUGGGGUUNAUGAUUAGGGUUAAGUCGUAACAAGGUACC